UGGAGAGUGGACCUGCUGGAUCUAUACAGCUGUCACCAUCACCAACAGAGGACAAUGCUGUCCUUAUGGUGCUGAGAUCCGCAUCGGUAACUCACUGGAGAACAACGGCAUCAACAACCCCAGCCUCCAAGUCAAAGAGAACGGUGGUGAAGAUGAAGGUGAAGAUGAAGAUCCAAUCAGAUGCUGAUCUGACAGACCAGGUGGUCGGUGACCAGCUCCUACAGCAGCUGCGUGUAGAAUUUCUGAAGCAGGGUGUGUCUUACCUUCAACUGCGCUGGAGGCCUCAACCAGAUGGACAGCUAGCUAACUGGCAAGCACAAAACCAG